rnacentral:lncRNA from 1 species
UGUGUGGUGGGAACUGUAUCUCCUACACCACAGGUGCCCAAUGGUCUGUGGAAUGAUUGCUAGCCAAGGCCAUCUUUUAAAUGAUUUCCCCACCAUGAACCAUGGAGGCUGAACUACAUCAAUGGGUCUCUCACCUGAAUGUAUGUGUGGGUCGCCUGGGGUUUCGCUAAGAUGCAGAUGCUGAUUCAGAAACUCCCGGUUGAGACCGAGGCUCUGCAUUGCUGACCAGGGCCCAGGUGACUCCAGGAUUGCUGUCCAGGUAAUGCCUUGGGACCAGAGCCAGGGGCCAGACAUUCUGUCCUGUCCUCCAGACCCAGCAUCCCACAGCAGGAGCACACAGCUGUGG